GCUCGGGGGUCAGGGGUCAGGGACCCACUUGAGGAGGCAGUCUGCCCGUUCUCAGAUCUCCAGCUGCGUGCUGGGAGAACCACUGCUCUCUUCAAAGCUGUCAGACAGGGACAUUUAAGUCUGCGGAGGUUACUGCUGUCUUUUUGUUUGUCUGUGCCCUGCCCCCAGAGGUGGAGCCUACAGAGGCAGGCAGGCCUCCUUGAGCUGUGGUGGGCUCCGCCCAGUUCGAGCUUCCCGCUGCUUUGUUUACCUAAUCAAGCCUCGGCAAUGGCGGGCGCCCCUCCCCCAGCCUCGCUGCCGCCUUGCAGUUUGAUCUGAGACUGCUGUGCUAGCAAUCAGCGAGACUCCGUGGGCGUAGGACCCUCCGAGCCAGGUGUGGGAUAUAAUCUCGUGGUGCGCCGUUUUUUUAAGCCCGUCGGAAAAGCGCAGUAUUCGGGUGGGAGUGACCUGACUUUCCAGGUGCGUCCGUCACCCCUUUCUUUGACUCGGAAAGGGAACUCCCUGACCCCUUGCGCUUCCGGAGUGAGGCAAUGCCUCGCCCUGCUUCGGCUCACGCACGGUGCGCGCACCCACUGACCUGCGCCCACUGUCUGGCACUCCCUAGAGAGAUGAACCCGGUACCUCAGAUGGAAAUGCAGAAAUCACCGUCUUCUGCGUCGCUCACGCUGGGAGCUGUAGACCGGAGCUGUUCCUAUUCGGCCAUCUUGGCUCCUUAUUCUCAUUACCUUCUUGAGUUGUGGCUCAGACACUACAACAGAGCUCCGUCACCUCUUUCUAAAAGCUGGGAAAUGGUUAUUGUCAACGCCAGCCCCAUUUUGGAGGCACCUGGCUGCAGGGGACCACAGCUAGCUGGGUGCGGUGGCUCAGGACUGUAAUUCCAGCUACAUGAGAGGAUUGCUUGAGGCCAGGAGUUUGAGACCAGCCUGAACAACAUAAACAGGUGCUCCUGUGAAGAGGAAGCCUCAGGAGGGAGUGAGAGCAGAAGGGAGCCCACCUGUGGUCGUCUCAGCAACAGCAGAAGAACCUGGGCCGCUGGGAGUGGAGUUGGAGAGAAACAGGUUGAUGUGGAAGUUAUUCUGCAGGUAGAAUGGAAAGGCGAAUUCCGCAAGAUGCUCUGGGGUCCACUGAGCUCAGCUGCUCAGGCUCAGCUCUUUCUGUGGGUUCUUCUUGGGCAGCUUGUUGACCAAGAUGUGGCCCAUGCCACUCCCUAUAUUCGGAGUCCAUUUUCUGAUGCCGUCUUUCAGCUCUUCACCUGCACUCAUCUGUGACUGCCUGGUACUGCUAGGAAGCCUCUGUUUGUGUCUCAUCUCUCCAGGUGGACUGGAGCUCCUGGGGGUCCUUUCCUUUGUGGGGGUUCUCAAUAUCAGAAUGGAGUCGCUUAUGUCAAACCCUAACAAAAUGGAGGUGGAGGCCACGAAUUGGAGCCUAUAUGCGUGCCUAUAACAGGACUUGUCACAAGGAAUCCCUGCACAUAUGCGUAUGAUGGGGACUAUGCCAGGAACUCCUCACAUAUGGAGGAUUCGAGAUAGACUGGGAGCUCCAUGAGGUCUGAGACAACCUGAAGAUGCCCAGCUCAGCAGAGACUGGCUACGGCAAUCACUCAGUAACUGUUUGUUGAAUUGGACAUAAUAGAAGAGUUGAAGAAUUUUAAACAAGUCACCAUCAGUCCAGUGGAUUCCUCAAAGCAAACCUGGAAAUCUCGGCAUGAGUUGGAUUUAAGGCAGUACAUUUUCAGCUCCUGAAAAUUUGAACAGUUUCUCAAGAGAACAACUUGAAACAGAAAGGCAAGGAUGUAGAUGUGGUUGUAGAAGAUGAUGUCUGCGGCCACCAAACUGUCCACUGUGAAGAUAAACCAUGCAUGUUUAGUAGGCAGUGGCUCCUCUUCCCUGUGGGGAGUCCCACUGCUUCCCUGGCCUGGGUGUUCUCUGCCGGUAGAUGUUAUUGACAAAAUUAGCAAAGUCCUCUGAUUCUGAGAAUUAGAGUUUAUGAUAGCUCUAGAUUGCCUCUGCCAUGCUAUUUAAAGUCCUGCUUUAUUGUCUGACAUGAGUUCGGCAUCUAUGAGGACUUGUCCAGUGCAAAGUACAAUCUCCACUGAAAGAUAUCACCAGCACAUCUUGUCACUGUGCUGUAGCAAGCUGGGCAGUACAAUGAUGUUGGCAGGAUCCUGUUUAGGUGGAGGAUGGCCACCUGGGCAUCAAGAAUCUUCUACCUUGAUUCCACAUUGAUUCCCCAAAGUGGGCUUCAGACAGCUCUUCACUUACAUCUUCUGAUUAAAGCAGCAGACAGGGUCCCAGCUAGAGAAAAGUUCUGGGAGCAGGAGAGGUGUUGGUGGCUUUAAAACCAGGGGUGAAGAUUGAAUUAGGAGGUUAGGCAGGAGUAGGAUCAAAGACUUAGAAAAUGCUUGUUUCCUCCUAUUAUUCUUAUGAGAGCUGAUACGGGGCUUUCAGUUUUGGGGGAGAGCCUUGGAAGAGAAUGAGGGAAUUUAAUCAACUAGCGGGACCUUUCCAACUUACAUUUCCCAGUGUUUGUUGGAUGAUACGUUUGCCUAAUAAGUUAAAGCUUCCAAAAAUAGAAAGGAAAGCUUGGUGACACUAAGCUCUGGCAUGCUGUCAUCUUCUGGUUAGGGGUCUUGUGCUUCUGUUUUUCUAUUUCUGACUGAGGACAUAAAAUGUGUUGUGACCUCUCAGGUAAUGCUGUGGUAUCAUGUCCAAGCAGUAACUAACCAGAGUGGAGUUUUUACAGGUAAAAAAGUAUUGAAUAGCUCAGCAACAGGGAGGAUUUAAUGAUAAAUUGCUUUUUCAGAAAAUGACAAGGGGACAGACACUUGCGGUUCUUCCAUUGAGAGCCUUAAGGAAGUUAAGCGAAGCCUCUGCUCACCCCUUCAAGUAACGAUGACCCAUCAGAUUGUGGUCAUAACCAGUAGCAUCUGAGGCACCCCUAAGCUCUCUGGGCCCCAGAUUCCUUGUUAAGUUAAAUGAGGUGACUUCCCAGUUUACCAUUCUAGGGGUUCCUGAGGAGUUAAAAAUGAAGGAGAAAAUGCAACAUGUACCAAGUGAGCAAGAGCUCAAGGCUUAUCUCUGGCACGAAAGUGACCGCUGUCCAUUAGAGAUGUGCUUGCCCUAAAUUUCCUUUAGGAAAUGCAAACAUUGAACUCUGACCUUCAGGACCCAAGCCCCGGCUUGCAUCUAUUCUAUACACUUUCUGUUAUUUGUUAGGGCUCACAAGGAACAGUUAUUUAUUUUUUAUUUUCUAUUUUUUUUUUAGAGAUGGAGUCUCACUCUGUCUCCCAGACUGGAGUGCAGUGGUGCCAUCUCAGCUCACUGCAACCUCCACCUCCCGGGUUCAAGCAAUUCUCCUGUCUCAGCCUCCUGAGUAGCUAGGACUACAGGCGUGUGCCAUCAUGCCCGGCUAAUUUUUAGUAUUUUUAGUAGAGGCAGGGUUUCACCAUAUUGGCCAGGCUGGUCUUGAACUCCUGAUCUCAAGUGAUCUACCCUCCUUGGCCUCCCAAACUGCUGGAAUUACAGAUGUGAGCGACCACACCCGGCCCAUUUGUUUUCUUUCAAACCCUUCUGUAAGACCAGUGCUUUAGGCGAACACGUGGACAGAACAAGUUCAUCACAUUUUGCAAUAUGAAGACCAACUGCACUGUGACCAGAAAAAACAGAGGCAAAAUGUUGAGCUUAAUGAUACCUUUUUAUAAUCUGUAUUUGGUGUUUCUCAAUUUUCCAUUGGAUAGUUUGAGAGAUAAGUACAAGUCAAUGACAUGUUCUCUUUUGUACCCUAUUGUCUAAUCCUGCUAACACACACACACACACACACUGAUUACCUAAUUUAUCUGUUCCCUGAUUAUUACACUCUCAAUUGCUGCAGAGUCUCAGAAGCAGCAUGGUGUAACAGAAAGAAUAUGAGGCUUAGAAUCCAAAAGCCAGAGUGUGAAUUCCAGCUCCACUGACUUGCUGCGUGACUUGAAGCAAGUCAUUACGUGUCUCUGUUUACUCAUUUUACGACUUUCCUAUUGCCUCUGUAAUAUAGCACCACAAACGUGUGGACUUAAAACAACAUGCACUUAUUCUCUUAGCGUUCUGGAGGUCAGGAGUCUGACAUCAAUUUCGUUGGGCUAAAAUCAAGAUGUUGGUAGGACCAAGAUCCCCGUGGAGGCUCUGGGAGAACCCACUUCCUUGCCUUUGCCAGCUUCUAAUGCUGCAUUCCUUGCAUUCCUUGAUUGUUGACCUCUUCCCCCAUCUUCAAAGCCAGCAGAACAGCACCUUGUUUCAUGGCCUUCUUUACUGUCAAAUCUCCCUCUGCCUUCUUCUUAUAAGAACACUUGUGGUUGCAUUUAGAGGCUGUGAUAAUCCAGAAUAAUAUCUUUAUCUCAAGAUCUUUGACUUAGUCUCUUCUGCAAAGUCUCUUUUGCCACAGAGGGAAAUAUUCACAGGUCCCAGGGGUCAGGCUGUGUACAUCUUUGGGGGACUUUAUUCUGCCUACCACACUCAUCUUUUUUUUUUUUUGGGUGGAGUCUCGCUCUGUCACCCAGGCUGGAGUGCAGUGGCAUGAUCUCGGCUCACUGCAACUUCUGCCUCCCCAGUUCAAGCAAUUCUCCUGCCUCAACCUCCCAAGUAGCUGGAAUUACAGGCGCCUGCCACCACACCCGGCUACUUUUUGUACUUUUAGUAGAGAUGGGGUUUCACUAUGUUGGCCUGGCUGGUCUUGAACUCCUGACCUCAGAUGAUUCCCCCACCUUGGCCUCCCAAAGUGCUGAGAUUACAGACGUGAGCCACCAUGCCCGGCCCCACACUCAUCUAUUAAGUAGAGCUAGGAAUUCCUAUCCUAAGGGACACAAAAACGAAAAAAGAUAAAAUUUGUGAAGAGGCACAUAAUGAAAGCCCAUACAUGUCACUGAGUUCAGAGGAGGGUGGGUCUGACCUCCCAUUGACUGGUCUCUGCCUGAUGGACAUCGUGAAGAAGAGAGCCAGGACUAGUGUGACUGGGGGAUGUUCAGGGGACAGAGUGGCUUCAGGUGCCAGCAGCCCUGGCCGAAGGAUGACUCCAGGAGCAAGGCUCAGAGCCGAGUGGAAGAAGCUUCAAUAAACACAACUGAGCCAAGCAUGAUGGGAUGUGCCUGUGGUUCCAGCUACUCAGGAGGCAGGUGGGAGGAUGGCUUGAGUCAGAAGUUCGAGGCUGCAGUGAGCUAUGAUCACACUACUGUACUCCAGCCUGGGUGACAGAAUGACACCCUGUCUCUAAAAAGAAAAGGCACCUGGAUGCUCAUG